rnacentral:sRNA from 1 species
AAACAGAAGCUCCCGCCGGCAAUAGCGAACCUUCGAAAUGAUUGAAACUUGCUUUGCUAAUUAGAGGCUAUAAGGUUUCUCACAGGUCAAAUCCACUCCACCCUUUCGGUAAGGCAAUCUCUCUCGAUGUUAAUCCUUGGUAAUUCUUCAGUGACAUAUGUCCAUUCUCUUUUCCGGAUUUCUUGGGGGGAAGGGAAACUGAUUCAACAGACAUAUAACGCUGAUAGUUAUACUUGCAAAAUAAAAACGAAAUUUGGAAAGAAGAGAGAGGAAAGCUUGGCACGAUUAAUUGAGUGUAUAAAUAUUUUGGUUGCGUUUUACAAGCAAUAUACUAAACUGUGAGGAUUGUUAAAAAUAUCACGGAAGAAUAUUUGGAAGGUAAGAAAAAUUAGAAAAUAGAAUUCCAGAUCUGAUUAGAAAAAAACACUCGUGAAUUCAAGGUAAGAAUUUCUAAAUAUUUCCCAUUAAGUAUAUUACAACAAAACGCAAUAUAUACAUGUAUUUUCUCUUAAUGUUAAUAUAUGUUCUGCAACAAAUUAUUGUUAUUUGCCAACGAUUUGUGAGUGUUUAGAGAAAAAAAAACAAGUUGCUACAUUACUGACAUAAUCACGAAGUAUUCUGAGUAUUUCCUUAUCAAACACUUCCAUUCGGAAUCACCGAAGAAAAUUACAGGUAAUAGGUUUAUUUUCAGAAUGUUGAAAUGUUUAAACAGAUGUUCAAUUAUACUGUGAAUUAUUUGCUAUUUUGUUUAUCAUUGGCCCUCUCUUUUUUGCAGUUGCAUUUUUGGGGGUAAAAAGGCACAUGGGAUCUUGAUUGUAUUAUUGACCUCCAUGAACUUUCGCCAUAUUGUUCGGUCAAAUUAACAUCUACAUUGAGGGAGCCCUAGAUAGCCGGUCAGGGCGACAUCGCCAUCUUGUACGGGCCAUGUUGUCUAUUAAUGACAAUCCGAAGACUUUUGUACAAACACGUGUGCGGAGAUCUUUUAAACCAAUUAUUACAAUUAUGUAUUUUUGUAACAGUCCUUUUUUUUUGAGAUCGUUCGUUUAUGAAUACUGAAGGUUGAAAAAAAAAUUAAUUAAAACACUGGAAUCCUAUUUACCCAGGUGUUCCAUACAUCGUAC